rnacentral:rRNA from 1 species
UACGGGGGGGGCAAGCGUUGUUCGGAAUUACUGGGCGUAAAGGGCUCGUAGGCGGCCAACUAAGUCAGACGUGAAACCCCUCGGCUUAACCGGGGAACUGCGUCUGAUACUGGAUGGCUAGAGGUUGGGAGAGGGAUGCGGAAUUCCAGGUGUAGCGGUGAAAUGCGUAGAUAUCUGGAGGAACACCGGUGGCGAAGGCGGCAUCCUGGACCAAUUCUGACGCUGAGGAGCGAAAGCCAGGGGAGCAAACGGG